UGCUUGCACUACUGUCCGGCGAGUGGCGAACGGGUGAGUAAUAUAUCGGAACGUACCGAGUAAUGGGGGAUAACCAAUCGAAAGAUUGGCUAAUACCGCAUACGUCCUACGGGAGAAAGCGGGGGAUCGCAAGACCUCGCGUUAUUCGAGCGGCCGAUAACUGAUUAGCUAGUUGGUGGGGUAAAGGCCUACCAAGGCGACGAUCAGUAGCGGGUCUGAGAGGACGAUCCGCCACACUGGGACUGAGACACGGCCCAGACUCCUACGGGAGGCAGCAGUGGGGAAUUUUGGACAAUGGGGGCAACCCUGAUCCAGCCAUGCCGCGUGUAUGAAGAAGGCCUUCGGGUUGUAAAGUACUUUUGUUAGGGAAGAAAAGGGAAGUGCUAAUACCACUUUUUGCUGACGGUACCUAAAGAAUAAGCACCGGCUAACUACGUGCCAGCAGCCGCGGUAAUACGUAGGGUGCAAGCGUUAAUCGGAAUUACUGGGCGUAAAGCGAGCGCAGACGGUUAUUUAAGCAGGAUGUGAAAUCCCCGGGCUCAACCUGGGAACUGCGUUCUGAACUGGAUAGCUAGAGUGUGUCAGAGGGGGGUAGAAUUCCACGUGUAGCAGUGAAAUGCGUAGAGAUGUGGAGGAAUACCGAUGGCGAAGGCAGCCCCCUGGGAUAACACUGACGUUCAUGCUCGAAAGCGUGGGUAGCAAACAGG
rnacentral:rRNA from 1 species